UCUUUGGCUCUUGUACUGUUUAUAUGAAAGUAAUAUAUUUCGGAUUACGACGCGUGUUUUAUUAUUUUUAAAACUACAUAUCCCGACGUUUCGGUUACUUUGCAGCGACCGUGAUCACGGGCAGACGAGAUGUGAACUGAACACAUUUUGUACUGUUUUUGUUUUUUUUUUAAUAAUCAAUGCAAAUUAGUUAAUUCUUACUGUUUAAAAUACCUAAUAAUUUGAUGUUUUUGAAUCAAUAAAUCAUCAAGCUAAGAAAAUAAGCUUCAGUCGUGAAUUGUAACAAAAAUUGCGGAAUUAAAAUCAAAGUAGGUAAAUAAAUAUUUUAUUAUAUUAAAAAAAAAACUAUAAUAAAAUGGAAAUAAAUACAAUUUCUUACGCUAAAUACAAAACCGAAAUGGUGCUACAUGACAAGAUAUUACCGAUUAGGUAAGUUACAUGCUAUCUUCAUAGAAAAGAGAACAAUCAAUCUUACACGUGAUGACUAGAGCACUAGAUGCAGUCUUACAAGAGCGUCAGAAGUACAGUUAUGUACAAUAACCUUAACUUAGUAUCACUUUGUGAGAUU